UACGUAGGGUGCAAGCGUUAUCCGGAAUUAUUGGGCGUAAAGAGCUCGUAGGCGGUUUGUCGCGUCUGCUGUGAAAACUGGGGGCUCAACCCCCAGCCUGCAGUGGGUACGGGCAGACUAGAGUGCGGUAGGGGAGAUUGGAAUUCCUGGUGUAGCGGUGGAAUGCGCAGAUAUCAGGAGGAACACCGGUGGCGAGGGCGGUUCUCUGGGCAUGAUCUGACGCUGAGGAGCGAAAGUGUGGGGAGCGAACAGG
rnacentral:rRNA from 1 species